CGUUGCUUUCUCCGCCGCGACCGGCGCACGGGUAAGUAACACGUAUGCAACCUGCCCCUCGUCAGGGGGACAACCCGCCGAAAGGCGGGCUAAACCCGCGUACAUGCCACCGGGGCAUCCCGGAGGCAGGAAAGGCUUCGGCCGGACAGGGAUGGGCAUGCGGCGCAUUAGGCAGUAGGCGGGGUAACGGCCCACCUAACCGACGAUGCGUAGGGGUUCUGAGAGGAAGGUCCCCCACACUGGUACUGAGACACGGACCAGACUCCUACGGGAGGCAGCAG
rnacentral:rRNA from 1 species